rnacentral:rRNA from 1 species
CCCUUAGAUGUCCUGGGCCGCACGCGCGUUACACUGAUGCAUUCAACGAGCUUAUAACCUUGGCCGAGAGGCCUGGGCAAUCUUGUUAACGUGCAUCGUGAUAGGGACAGAUUAUUGAAAUUAUUAAUCUUGAACGAGGAAUUCCUAGUAAACGCAGAUCAUCAAUCUGCAUUGAUUACGUCCCUGCCCUUUGUACACACCGCCCGUCGCACCUACCGAUUGGAUGGUCCGGUGAAGCCUCGGGAUUGUGGUUCUUGCCGCUUUAUUGUGGCGUGACCGCGAGAACUUGUCUAAACCUUAUCAUCUAGAGGAAGGUGAAGUCGUAACA